UGCUUGGAUGUCCCUCCAACUUCGAUUCGUGACACUCCUUCAGUAGCUCUCGUCGUAGAUUGUCCCAUCUUAGAAUAUAGAUUCUCUUCCUUGUUACAUAGAGAACACCAUCAUCGAGCCCAAAUCUUCUUGUCUUCCCAUCUUUGACAAGCUCCAACAUACUUUUGGCUUAGGGAUCACGCAACAAGCCCUCUCAUAUCCUCUACAUGAGAGAACUUUAGG
rnacentral:lncRNA from 1 species